UACGUAGGUGGCAAGCGUUGUCCGGAUUUAUUGGGCUUAAAGGGUGCGUAGGCGGCUUUGUAAGUCAGUGGUGAAAUAUGGCAGCUUAACUGUCAGGGUGCCAUUGAUACUGCGGAGCUUGAGUACAGAUGAGGUAGGCGGAAUUGACGGUGUAGCGGUGAAAUGCUUAGAUAUCGUCAAGAACACCUAUAGCGAAGGCAGCUUACUAGGCUGUAACUGACGCUGAGGCACGAAAGUGUGGGGAGCAAACAGG
rnacentral:rRNA from 1 species